rnacentral:lncRNA from 1 species
UUGAAUGAAUCUCAACAACCUUAUCAUUAUCUCCUAACCCAAUAGAUGUAAUCAAUUCCAAUGAAUCUUCUAGUCCAUUUUCUUCAUAAACACCUAAAAUCCUCUCAUCAUCUUGCAAUGUACCUAACUUGCAUAAUUCUCCUUCAAUAUCAUAUAAUCUUUUUUUUUUCUUUUCUUUUAAAAUCAUCAACUUUCUUAUACAUAAUAUUUCCAUUCUCCAAAAUACCAAUAUAACUUACAUCAAAGGCACCUUCAUCUC